AUGACCUUUAAAAAUAGUCCUGUGAGGCUAAGAAGGAAAUCUGCAUUAGCUAAUAAUUUUUAUUUCUAUUAGCCAAACAGAAAGACCAACUUGGACUAAGUGACCAGGUUGGUCUUUUUCUU
rfam:Lactobacillus acetotolerans DNA, complete genome, strain: NBRC 13120.